GACGAACGCUGGCGGCGUGCUUAACACAUGCAAGUCGAACGGAAAGACCCUGCUUUUGUGGGGUGCUCGAGUGGCGAACGGGUGAGUAACACGUGAGUAACCUGCCCUUGACUUUGGGAUAACUUCAGGAAACUGGGGCUAAUACCGGAUAGGAGCUCCUGCUGCAUGGUGGGGGUUGGAAAGUUUCGGCGGUUGGGGAUGGACUCGCGGCUUAUCAGCUUGUUGGUGGGGUAGUGGCUUACCAAGGCGUUGACGGGUAGCCGGCCUGAGAGGGUGACCGGCCACAUUGGGACUGAGAUACGGCCCAGACUCCUACGGGAGGCAGCAGUGGGGAAUAUUGCACAAUGGGCGGAAGCCUGAUGCAGCAACGCCGCGUGCGGGAUGACGGCCUUCGGGUUGUAAACCGCUUUCGCCUGUGACGAAGCGUGAGUGACGGUAAUGGGUAAAGAAGCACCGGCUAACUACGUG
rnacentral:rRNA from 1 species